rnacentral:lncRNA from 1 species
CAGACAAUGAAAAUAAAAAGCAGUCCAUGGAUAACAUUUAAAAGAAUAGCUUCAUAGCUGCAAAUGUUCACAAUCACUAAAAUAACUUAUAAUCUCUAAUUAAUGGUGUAUCAGUUCCGAUCUGUUCCUCAUGCUAACAGUGAUUCUUAGUACCUACCUGAACAUUGUGAUGAUUGAUGGACCUUUGAAUAAGACACUUGAAAUUCUUCAUUGUUCUUUGGAGAAGAAAAGAGAAUGCCUUCUUAGGUCUUAGCAACUUAAGAGUGAAGACCCCAACAGAGGGUGCCUUUGGUAUGUCGAGGUACAAGGAAAACAUCAAGGACUGAACAGAGAACAAACCUGGAGAUGUUGGACAGAAGGAGAAGGCAUUAAACCCCAGCAGAGACCUCAACUCUAGCCU